GUACAAAAAGAGGCAACAACUUUUUAUGGGUGUUCUCGAGGAUUUAAUUACACAGUCUAUCCUGCCCAUUCUUUACCAUCUUCAAUCUAAAACUAGUAUGACAGUAUUGUACAGUUGCCUGUAAAGUAAGACAACACGAUUAUAAUUCAUCAGAUACUCAACGAUGAUAAUGUUCUUAUUCGUCAAAUCCACUGUAGGUGAG